rnacentral:misc_RNA from 1 species
AAGUCGUAACAAGGUUUCCGUAGGUGAACCUGCGGAAGGAUCAUUAAAGAGAUAGGGUCCUUCGGGGCCCGACCUCCAACCCUUUGUCUACCAAACCUCUGUUGCCUCGGCGGGUCGUCGGUUACCCUCACGGGUGCCGCCGUCGGCCUCCGCGCUCUCGAGUGCCCGCCGCAGGACUAUUUAAAACUCUUUGUCAAACGAGUAUAAUCUGAGUGGAAUUUAAUGCUUCAAUUAAAACUUUUAACAACGGAUCUCUUGGUUCUG